rnacentral:rRNA from 1 species
AGAGUUUGAUCCUGGCUCAGGAUGAACGCUGGCGGCGUGCCUAACACAUGCAAGUUGAGCGAUUUACUUCGGUAAAGAGCGGCGGACGGGUGAGUAACGCGUGGGUAACCUACCCUGUACACACGGAUAACAUACCGAAAGGUAUGCUAAUACGGGAUAAUAUAUUUGAGAGGCAUCUCUUGAAUAUCAAAGGUGAGCUAGUACAGGAUGGACCCGCGUCUGAUUAGCUAGUUGGUAAGGUAACGGCUUACCAAGGCGACGAUCAGUAGCCGACCUGAGAGGGUGAUCGGCCACAUUGGAACUGAGACACGGUCCAAACUCCUACGGGAGGCAGCAGUGGGGAAUAUUGCACAAUGGGCGAAAGCCUGAUGCAGCAACGCCGCGUGAGUGAUGAAGGCCUUCGGGUCGUAAAACUCUGUCCUCAAGGAAGAUAAUGACGGUACUUGAGGAGGAAGCCCCGGCUAACUACGUGCCAGCAGCCGCGGUAAUACGUAGGGGGCUAGCGUUAUCCGGAUUUACUGGGCGUAAAGGGUGCGUAGGCGGUCUUUCAAGUCAGGAGUGAAAGGCUACGGCUCAACCGUAGUAAGCUCUUGAAACUGGGAGACUUGAGUGCAGGAGAGGAGAGUGGAAUUCCUAGUGUAGCGGUGAAAUGCGUAGAUAUUAGGAGGAACACCAGUUGCGAAGGCGGCUCUCUGGACUGUAACUGACGCUGAGGCACGAAAGCGUGGGGAGCAAACAGGAUUAGAUACCUGGUAGUCCACGCUGUAAACGAUGAGUACUAGGUGUCGGGGGUUACCCCUUCGGUGCCGCAGCUAACGCAUUAAGUACUCCGCCUGGGAAGUACGCUCGCAAGAGUGAAACUCAAAGGAAUUGACGGGGACCCGCACAAGUAGCGGAGCAUGUGGUUUAAUUCGAAGCAACGCGAAGAACCUUACCUAAGCUUGACAUCCCAAUGACAUCUCCUUAAUCGGAGAGUUCCCUUCGGGGACAUUGGUGACAGGUGGUGCAUGGUUGUCGUCAGCUCGUGUCGUGAGAUGUUGGGUUAAGUCCCGCAACGAGCGCAACCCUUGUCUUUAGUUGCCAUCAUUAAGUUGGGCACUCUAGAGAGACUGCCAGGGAUAACCUGGAGGAAGGUGGGGAUGACGUCAAAUCAUCAUGCCCCUUAUGCUUAGGGCUACACACGUGCUACAAUGGGUAGUACAGAGGGUUGCCAAGCCGUAAGGUGGAGCUAAUCCCUUAAAGCUACUCUCAGUUCGGAUUGUAGGCUGAAACUCGCCUACAUGAAGCUGGAGUUACUAGUAAUCGCAGAUCAGAAUGCUGCGGUGAAUGCGUUCCCGGGUCUUGUACACACCGCCCGUCACACCACGGGAGUUGGAGACGCCCGAAGCCGAUUAUCUAACCUUUUGGAAGAAUCGUCGAAGGGGAAUCAAUAACUGGGGUGAAGUCGUAACAAGGUAGCCGUAUCGGAAGGUGCGGCUGGAUCACCU